rnacentral:piRNA from 1 species
UGAGUGUAUAAACACAGCACUCUCUAGCCUA